rnacentral:tRNA from 1 species
CGGGAUAUAGCGCAGUGUGGUAGCGCGCCUGCUUUGGGAGCAGGAUGUCGCAGGUUCAAGUCCUGCUAUCCCGA